GAUGAACGCUGGCGGCGUGCCUAAUACAUGCAAGUAGAACGCUGAAGCUUGGUGCUUGCACCGAGCGGAUGAGUUGCGAACGGGUGAGUAACGCGUAGGUAACCUGCCUCUUAGCGGGGGAUAACUAUUGGAAACGAUAGCUAAUACCGCAUAAAAGUCGAUAUCGCAUGAUAUUGAUUUGAAAGGUGCAAUUGCAUCACUAAGAGAUGGACCUGCGUUGUAUUAGCUAGUUGGUGAGGUAACGGCUCACCAAGGCAACGAUACAUAGCCGACCUGAGAGGGUGAUCGGCCACACUGGGACUGAGACACGGCCCAGACUCCUACGGGAGGCAGCAGUAGGGAAUCUUCGGCAAUGGGGGCAACCCUGACCGAGCAACGCCGCGUGAGUGAAGAAGGUUUUCGGAUCGUAAAGCUCUGUUGUAAGAGAAGAACGAGUGUGAGAGUGGAAAGUUCACACUGUGACGGUAACUUACCAGAAAGGGACGGCUAACUACGUG
rnacentral:rRNA from 1 species